rnacentral:rRNA from 1 species
CGAACGCUUCUUUCCUCCCGAGUGCUUGCACUCAAUUGGAAAGAGGAGUGGCGGACGGGUGAGUAACACGUGGGUAACCUACCCAUCAGAGGGGGAUAACACUUGGAAACAGGUGCUAAUACCGCAUAACAGUUUAUGCCGCAUGGCAUAAGAGUGAAAGGCGCUUUCGGGUGUCGCUGAUGGAUGGACCCGCGGUGCAUUAGCUAGUUGGUGAGGUAACGGCUCACCAAGGCCACGAUGCAUAGCCGACCUGAGAGGGUGAUCGGCCACACUGGGACUGAGACACGGCCCAGACUCCUACGGGAGGCAGCAGUAGGGAAUCUUCGGCAAUGGACGAAAGUCUGACC